UCUCUCUUUCUCUCUUUCCCUCUUCUCUCUUCUCAAACCCUAAAAAUUCUGAACAAAAUAAAACCAGACUCCCACUUUUAUCAUUUUCAAGUUUGCUUCUCACAACUAAUCCGAGAAUUUAUCAAAGCUAUAUUGCUCUCAAAGUUUCCGUUGUUUCAGAAAAAAUUGUUGAAGUUGACCGACAUUCUCACGUGAAAUUUCAGAUCUACAAACUAGAUUGGAUGCAUUGAGAUGAAAUUAUAGUAAAUUUCAGGGCACAGAUGGGCGGUUAGAUUUGAAGCAAGAGUGUUGUGUUAGGAAAGACCGUCAAGUUACUUAUUGCACGGGCUUUGGAAAACGUAGCAUUUGGGACUUCUAAGAACACUAAAGUGGUGGUUAAUCAUGGAGCAGUUCCUGCAUUUGUCGUGUUGCUCAGUUCACAUAUUGAUGAAUUUCAAUAGCAGGGUUGUGCUUGCUGAUAAUAUUGGGAUAUAUUGCAGGGUUGUGCUUGCAGGGUUUCACUGCCACGCUCUGCUGCCCCUACUCUGAUUGCAUUGUUGAAAAUGGGUUUGUGGCUCUCAUUGACACUUACUGGCAUAUGUCUCAAGGUUUCAAAGCCUAUGCUGUUCGUCAUGUGAUUUUUCUGAAAUCCUGCCUGUGUUGAAACAAGACAGAUUCGAAGUGACUUAGGUGAGUCAAGUUUUUCUGCCGCGGGCGCUGUAUAAGGUCGUAUAAGUUACUCAGGAAAAAUACCUUAUUCUGGAAGCAUCUCUAUUUGAUAUGACAGUAGCACUACCAGUACAUGGUCCUUUGGUGUGCAACAGAAGAAUCGUUGACCAAAAUGAUUAUUGCAGAAACCGGAACUUACCGAUGGAAAGGACCAGAGGCAUGCCGUCUUUUUUAGAAUGUAAUUUUAUUGAUUCAUUGAUAACUAUCAAAGAAUUUGAAUUAGAUGAUCAUUGAUAAUUUUAUUGACUCAUCACGAUGUCUGCAUAAAAUCUCUCACUAUACCUUUGCUAAGCAUUGGACAUGUUAUUUUCUUAAUGUUAGUUAUUUUAAAUUCUUAA